GUCAAUCGAGGUUGAGUUUAGUAAGUGGUGAAAGUUUUUGAUCUAGAUUGCAGAUCACUAUUGUCACUUUAUACAAACUGAAAGUAAUGCGUUGUGUGUUUGUUUUUGUGGGCAUUUGACUGAACAGCCCAGACCAAUAUUGCUACCAACAUGGCACUUCAAAACAGACCACCGCAGUGAGUAAAAGUUAUUUUCCUUUAUUAAAUGUUGUUUGGGCUGUCUCCUCAAGACACAAGCCAUCAGUAUCCCUGCUCUUUGCACUUUGACAUGUAUGUCACUGCUGUUUGUUAACCUAGCUUUGCUGAUUUGUAUCUUGUGAUGUGUGUGUUUUUCUUAACAGGUGUUAGAUGAGUGACAUGAUCUAUGGGGGGGCCCCCUUUGGGCCCCCCCAUACCAACUUAGUCUUCAAAAUCUUUCGGUCUUGGUCAGGGGGACUUGACUGGUGAGUCUACUGGAUUAAUCAGUAGCGGUACUUUGCCCAACAGAUUUGAUGGGAUGACUACAGGUUGGUGGUUCAACACUGAUGUCUCUCGGCUUGAGGGAGAACUCACAAGUAAAUUACACGAAUGUCCUGGAGCAAUUGGGAAUACACUUUUAUUUAGUCUACCUGACCAGGGACAUCUUUGAACUAUAGGUCACCUAACCCAAACUUUUCACUCUUGUUAGGUUGUCCUUUUCUCUUGUUUUAACCCGAAAGGGCUGAAAUUUCAACAUUUCAGGUAUUCUGUUUGGAUAAUGUGCAAAACUUGUGGAUUCACUAAUAAAAAAAAUUAACGAAUGUAUUUUUCUUAAUUUGGUUAAACUAUUUAAAGAUUUGUAUGCAAAAUAUUUCUGCUCAAUUUGUGGUCAAUGAAACUCAGACAUUUUUUAAUUUGAUAAAACAUAACUAUGGGUUAAAGGUAUUUGCUUUGGGCAUCUUUUGAUAUUUUUAGAAUCUAGCUCCAUUGCCGUUCGAAAUGGUGUCUCCCAGUACUGCAAAGUGCUUCCACAAGUUUAAAAAAGAAUGGGCAGAAAAGGAACUGCCAACUAAAUCUAUUUAACAUGGGUAGAAAGUUUCCAUGGAAGCUCUUGGCUGCUGGUUCCCAACACAGCUCCACUGUUAGCCUGUGACCUUGCGUUUAACUUUUUUCGACUUUUGGUGACUUCCACAAAAGAGAAAUGAACUGGUUAAUACAAUAAACAAGACAUUUCAUGGUACCAUUUUGAACUGUUUGUGGAUAUUGCAUUAAAUCCAUAUGCUUGAAACUUUUCAAUAAUGCAUAUCAACAAAACAAUGGAAUGAAAU